UGAAGUAGAAGUUGAUAUUAAUUAAACUCAACAGCAUAAUAGGUUGUAGCUAUGUAUGUAGAACUUACAUAAGAGACCCGACAAGAAUCCGGAUUACCUACCUAAGCUAACACAAACUAUUCCAUAUCAAUGAUAAGCUCACAGUUAGGAGCCUAUACAAAAGUAAAAGAAUGUCGCCUCUUACAUACUCUAUCAACUAGACCUAUACCUGCUUAUCACGUAAUUGUUGUACAAGCAAGAGACUAGAAGUGGCAUAGAAGACUCAUAGAAGUCAUUCUACCCUCAUACAAGCUUUAAAAUUAUAAGGGUCCCAACAACCUUGGCCUGUGUCCAUAACAUGUCAAUUUCUACCCUCUCUGAACCCCUAAGAUUGGACCCAGGCCCACCAGCCCAGGCCCAACCACGAGGUCCAGUUCCACCUGGAUCCAUCUCCAACCCAGCAACCAACCAAGCCAUAUCAACUCAUCCAGGCCCGGCCCAUAUGUGCACCCCAGAUUAGGGUUUCCCGCCGCCAAGGCCAG
rnacentral:lncRNA from 1 species